rnacentral:rRNA from 1 species
AAAAGUCGUAACAAGGCAUCCGAAGAAGCGCCGGCGGAAGGAUCAUUAUCGUACAACGGGGGUGCGAUGGCUGUCGCUGACCCUUCGAAAGGUCGUGCACGCUCGAGCACUCUCAUAAAUCCAUCUCACCCCUUUGUGCAUCACCGCGUGGGUUCCCUUUGCAGGAGGGCCACGUUUUCACACAAAACUUGAUACAGUGUAGAAUGUUAUUUUUGCGGUCGCACGCAAUCAAUACAACUUUCAACAACGGAUCUCUUGGCUCUCGCAUCGAUGAAGAACGCAGCGAAAUGCGAUACGUAAUGUGAAUUGCAGAAUUCAGUGAAUCAUCGAAUCUUUGAACGCACCUUGCGCCCCUUGGCAUUCCGAGGGGCACACCCGUUUGAGUGUCGUGAAAUUAUCAAAWACCCUUUUCUGUUUACUGAAAAGGAUUUUUGGACUUGGASGUUUAAUGCUUGCCUUUCACAUUUGAAAGUGAGCUCCUCUCAAAUGAAUUAGUGGGGUCCGCUUUGUCGGUCCUUGACGUGAUAAGAUGUUUCUACGUUUUGGAUUUGGCACUGUCCCUUUGGAUUCCUGCUCCUAACUGUCCAACGGACAAAUGAUGGUGCUCCGGUCGACUCCGUCUACAUUGGCGGGGGAGGGCUGGACCCGCACUAGAAAAGCUUGCCCUGACCUCGGGUGAGACUA